GCGAACAUAACUUAGUUGGCAAAGCUCAAUCUUGGCAAGAUUGUGCUCGGGUGUUCGAGUCGCCUUGUUCGCU
rnacentral:tRNA from 1 species